rnacentral:tmRNA from 2 species
GGGGGCGACAUGGCUUCGACGUGGAUAGCAAAACCUUGAGUGCAUGCCGAGGACAGUACACCUCGUAAAAUCUACUGAACUUAAAGUAUUCGCAAAUGACGAAAACUACUCAAUGGCUUUAGCUGCGUAAAACCAGCACCAUUCCUCUGACUGUGUGUGCUUAUGCGGGCAGAGUUCUUCGGAACACUCAGAGGUCAUCUCACAUAAGAUCGCGCCAAGGCUUCGUUCGUAGCUGGAAGCGUUAAAUUUAAUCGAAAUCGCUGAUAGUUUUCUUGGCCUGUCGGGUAGCUAUUAGUUAAACAAAAGCACGGGAUAAGCAUGUAGACCUUAUGGCGGAGUGUUUGCGGACGGGGGUUCGAUUCCCCCCGCCUCCACCA